rnacentral:rRNA from 1 species
AGAGUUUGAUCCUGGCUCAGGAUGAACGCUAGCGGCAGGCCUAAUACAUGCAAGUCAAACGGGAUUCCCGCCUCCGGGCGGGAUGAGAGUGGCGGAUGGGUGCGUAACGCGUGAGCAACCCGCCCAUAUCAGGGGGAUAGCCCGGAGAAAUCCGGAUUAACACCGCAUAUAGAUAUUCCGGGGCAUCCCGUUAUAUUGAAAUAUUUUAUAGGAUAUGGAUGGGCUCGCGUGACGUUAGUUUGUUGGUAAGGUAACGGCUUACCAAGGCUUUGAUGUCUAGGGGCUCUGAGAGGAGAAUCCCCCACACUGGCACUGAGACACGGGCCAGACUCCUACGGGAGGCAGCAGUAAGGAAUAUUGGUCAAUGGGCGGAAGCCUGAACCAGCCAUGCCGCGUGCAGGAGGACUGCCCUCUGGGUUGUAAACUGCUUUUAUACGCGAAUAACCGUUCCGACUUGUCGGGAUCUGAAUGUAGCGUAGGAAUAAGGAUCGGCUAACUCCGUGCCAGCAGCCGCGGUAAUACGGAGGAUCCGAGCGUUAUCCGGAUUUAUUGGGUCUAAAGGGUGCGUAGGCGGCACAUUAAGUCAGGGGUGAAAUUCGGCAGCUCAACUGUCGGCGUGCCUUUGAUACUGGUGUGCUUGAAUUGGUUCGAGGUCGGCGGAAUGUGACAAGUAGCGGUGAAAUGCAUAGAUAUGUCACAGAACUCCAAUUGCGAAGGCAGCUGACCAGGUCCAUAUUGACGCUGAUGCACGAAAGCGUGGGUAUCGAACAGGAUUAGAUACCCUGGUAGUCCACGCCCUAAACUAUGAUAACUCGAUGUUGGCGAUAUACUGUCAGUGUCCAAGCGAAAGCGUUAAGUUAUCCACCUGGGGAGUACGGCCGCAAGGCUGAAACUCAAAGGAAUUGACGG